rnacentral:rRNA from 1 species
CCUACGGGAGGCAGCAGUGAGGAAUAUUGGUCAAUGGGCGCGAGCCUGAACCAGCCAAGUAGCGUGAGGGAUGACUGCCCUGCGGGUUGUAAACUUCUUUUAUAAGGGAAUAAAGUGGGGCACUUGUGUCUUUUUGUAGGUACUUUAUGAAUAAGGAUCGGCUAACUCCGUUCCAGCAGCCGCGGUAAUACGGAGGAUGCGAGCGUUAUCCGGAUUUAUUGGGUUUAAAGGGAGCGGAGGGGGGUUGUUAAGUCAGUUGUUAAAGUUUGCGGCUUAACCGUAACAUUGCAUUUGAUACUGGCAGGCUUGAGUACAGGUGAGGUAGGCGGAAUGCGGGGUGUAGCGGUGAAAUGCUUAGAUAUCACGAAGAACCCCGAUUGCGAAGGCAGCUUACUAGACUGCCACUGACAUUGAUGCACGAAAGUGUGGGUAUCGAACAGGAUUAGAUACCCCUGUAGUC